rnacentral:rRNA from 1 species
GACGAACGCUGGCGGCGUGCUUAACACAUGCAAGUCGAACGAAGAGAGAUGGAAGCUUGCUUCUAUGGAUCUUAGUGGCGAACGGGUGAGUAACGCGUAAUCAACCUGCCCUUCAGAGGGGGACAACAGUUGGAAACGACUGCUAAUACCGCAUACGAUCUAAUUUCGGCAUCGAGAUUAGAUGAAAGGUGGCCUCUAUUUAUAAGCUAUCACUGAAGGAGGGGAUUGCGUCUGAUUAGCUAGUUGGAGGGGUAACGGCCCACCAAGGCGAUGAUCAGUAGCCGGUCUGAGAGGAUGAACGGCCACAUUGGGACUGAGACACGGCCCAGACUCCUACGGGAGGCAGCAGUGGGGAAUCUUCCGCAAUGGACGAAAGUCUGACGGAGCAACGCCGCGUGAGUGAUGACGGCCUUCGGGUUGUAAAGCUCUGUUAAUCGGGACGAAUGGUUCUUGUGCAAAUAGUGCGAGGAUUUGACG